rnacentral:lncRNA from 1 species
UCCAAGUAAGUCUCCACUACUGCCGUGUUGACAAGUAAACCUGAGGGAGAAGAGUCAAGAAUGAAGGCUAGACUUGGUAACCAAGGCACAGCUGUUGACAAGAAAGGCCAUGGAAUUCCUCGUCCAACUUAUAGGAAUCGUCAUCCAGCAACAAGGAGGGAACUUCACAGAGUGCUCCGUAUCAAAGUUCACCUGCAAGCCAGAGAGCUGGAGAGAGAGAGAGAGAGAGAGACAACAGCAUCCAUGCCCGGAACGUUUUGCCAAGCCCUGGAGUGGGCUCAAAUUGCGUGCAGCAGUCUUCCGUUCUUGAAGGGCCUCGUGAGCUGUCUUUUAGGCGCCGAAGAGCGUGCAAGUCAAGAAGUCGAAGAAGACGAUCCUGCGCUCGUGGCUAAUGUUGCUGCGCAGAAACACUUCCGCCAGCAGUUGCGUGUCAUGUAACUUCACUAAGCUUCUGUAACAGGUGUAACUUCGAAUUCCAUGGUGUUGUUGAUGAGCUAAUUUAACAUGCUUAGUUGUUUUGAUUAUUAUUAUUCUCUUUGAUGAGUAAAGUGGGGUUACCAUCCCAUCAUUUACUGGAACAAAUUAAACAAAGGUGAAAGGUUGGUGGCAAGACAACCGAGACAACACACAUCACAAUUGCACCCUGAAACUGAUCGUCUUGGUUGAGAAAGUUUCUGAUCUUAUCGCAAGCCCGGAAGUUAUGGUAGAUCUUCUCAAUUAUGCAAUCAUCUAACUUUUUCCUACUUGGAUGGCAAGCAAGCAGGAUUACCCCAAAUGUAUUGUUUUAUAUGAUUCAUUGCUUUCGAUGAACAAGGAGACGAUGUUCGAUCUUAUGAGCUACGUGUGUGACGAUUCCUUAUUCU